rnacentral:rRNA from 1 species
AGCGAACGCUGGCGGCGUGCUUAACACAUGCAAGUCGAACGUGAAAUGUAGCAAUACAGAGUAAAGUGACGUACGGGUGAGUAACACGUGGGUAAUCUACCAAAGUGUCUGGAAUAACCGAUCGAAAGGUUGGCUAAUACUGGAUAGUUCAAGCUUGUUAUAAUGGCAAGAUUGGGAAAGGGAGCUGGCAACAGCCUUCGCAUUUUGAUGAGCUCGCGUCUGAUUAGUUAGUUGGUAAGGUAAUGGCUUACCAAGACGAAGAUCAGUAGCUGGUCUGAGAGGAUGAUCAGCCACACUGGAACUGAAACACGGUCCAGACUCCUACGGGAGGCAGCAGUGGGGAAUCUUGCGCAAUGGACGAAAGUCUGUCGCAGCCACGCCGCGUGAGUGAAGAAGGCCU